GAGCGCCGUAGCAAUACGGAGCGGCAGACGGGAGAGUAACACGUGGGAACGUGCCCUUCAGUUCGGAACAACCCAGGGAAACUUGGGCUAAUACCGGAUACGUCCGUAAGGAGAAAGAUUUAUCGCUGAAGGAUCGGCCCGCGUCUGAUUAGCUUGUUGGUGAGGUAACGGCUCACCAAGGCGACGAUCAGUAGCUGGUCUGAGAGGAUGAUCAGCCUCACUGGGACUGAGACACGGCCCAGACUCCUACGGGAGGCAGCAGUGGGGAAUAUUGGACAAUGGGCGCAAGCCUGAUCCAGCCAUGCCGCGUGGGUGAUGAAGGCCUUAGGGUUGUAAAGCCCUUUCGGCGGGGAAGAUAAUGACGGUACCCGCAGAAGAAGCCCCGGCUAACUUCGUG
rnacentral:rRNA from 1 species